rnacentral:rRNA from 1 species
UACGUAGGGUCCGAGCGUUGUCCGGAAUUAUUGGGCGUAAAGGGCUCGUAGGCGGUUUGUCGCGUCUGCUGUGAAAACUGGAGGCUCAACCUCCAGCCUGCAGUGGGUACGGGCAGACUAGAGUGCGGUAGGGGAGAUUGGAAUUCCUGGUGUAGCGGUGGAAUGCGCAGAUAUCAGGAGGAACACCAAUGGCGAAGGCAGCACUCUGGGACGGUACUGACGCUGAGACGCGAAGCGUGGGGGAGCAAACAGG